GACGAACGCUGGCGGCGUGCUUAACACAUGCAAGUCGAACGGAGUGGCGAACGGGUGAGUAACAUGUGGGUGAACUGCCUUGCACUUCGGGAUAAGCUUGGGAAACUGGGUCUAAUACCGGAUAGUGCAAGAUGAGCUCGCGGCCUAUCAGCUUGUUGGUGGGGUAGUGGCCUACCAAGGCGUCGACGGGUAGCCGGCCUGAGAGGGGGUACGGCCACAAGGGGACUAAGGUACGGCGCAGAGUCCUAUGGGAGGCAGCAGUGGGGAAGAGUGCACAAUGAGCGGAAGCCUGAUGCAAAGACGCUGGGUUGGGGAUGAAGGGCUUCUGGUUGUAAACUCCUUUCGACAGGGACGCGGUACCUGUAUAAGAAGCACCGGCUAACUACGUGCCAGCAGCCGCGGUAAUUC
rnacentral:rRNA from 1 species